UAAAAAGUAAGCUAAACUAAGCUUUUGGGUUCAUACCUCAACUAUAGAUAUAAAUCUCUUUUUAA
rnacentral:tRNA from 1 species